rnacentral:rRNA from 1 species
ACAGAGGUCCCAAGCGUUGUUCGGAUUCACUGGGCGUAAAGGGUGCGUAGGUGGCGGGGUAAGUCGGAUGUGAAAUCUCCGAGCUCAACUCGGAAACUGCAUUGGAAACUACUCUGCUUGAGGGUUGGAGGGGGGACUGGAAUACUUGGUGUAGAAGUGAAAUGCGUAGAUAUCAAGGGGAACACCAGUGGCGAAGGCGAGUCCCUGGACCUCUCCUGACGCUGAGACGCGAAAGCUAGUGGAGCAAACAG